GCUGGCCAGGCUGGUCUUGAACUCCUGGCCUCAAGUGAUCCGCCCGCCGUGGCCUCCCAAAGUGUUGGGAUUACAGGCGUGAGCCACAGUGUCUGGCCUGAUUUGUUUUUAAGAGCAUUAUUUUUCUGCUUUAUUUUGUGACUUCAACAUUUGACACAAUUUUGGGUGAAUGGUUUGUGCAUGGUGCCUGACAUCGUGUUUUGAUGUGUAGUAUAUGCCAUAGGACAUGUGAGACAAGAUAUGUCCCAACUUGACCUUGUUUUGUAUUGUUUAUGUCAAGGUGUUGAGUGUAUUAGAUAUACUGUUGGGGCUCUGUGUUCUAGCUCUGCCUUUUAGAUAAUAACCAUGGUUAAAUAUUGCAAUGUCCUGCAUGUCUCCACACAUGGGUUUUGUAACUGAGUCAGAAUGAUAAGUGAUUAGUAAGCACAUUUUUUCUCCUUUCAGGAAACCACUAUUUUCCUUUUCUACAUGCUGUUUUGUAAGUAGUACUUUUAUGAAGGUUGUCUUCAAAUGUUCGCAUCUUCCAUUUCUACUGCCCUUGGGUUAUCCAUCCUGUCAUUUUGUGCCAAUCACUUUUUUUUUUAACUUUUAAGUUCAGGGAUGAAAGUGUAGAUUUGUUACAUAGGUAAACUUGUGUCAUGGGGUUGUUGUACAGAUUAUUUCAUCACCCAGGUGUUAAGCCUAGUAUGCACUAGUUGUUUUUCCUGAUCCUCUCCCUGCUCCCACCCUCCACCCUCUGAUAGGCCCCAGUGUGUGUUGUUCCCCUCUGUGUGUCCAUGUGUUCUCAUCAUUUAGCUCCCACUUACAAGUGAGAAUGUGGUGUUUGGUUUUCUGUUCCUGCAUUAGUUUGCUAAGGAUAAUGGCCUCGAGCUCCAUCCAAGUCCCUGUAAAGGACAUGAUCUUGUACUUUUUUAUGGCUGCAUAGUAUUCUGUGGUGUAUAUGUACCACAUUUUCUUUAUCCAGUCUAUCAUUAGGCAUUUAGGUUGAUUCCAUGUUUUUGCUAUUGUGAAUAGUGCUGCAAUGAACAUACAUGUGCAUGUCUUUUUAUAAUAGAAUGAUUUAUAUUCUGUUGUGUAUAUACCCAGUAAUGGGAUUGCUGAGUUGAAUGCUAUUUCUGCCUUUAGGUCUUUGAUGAAUUGCCACACUGUCUUCCACAAUGGUUGAACUAAUUUACACUCCCACCAACGGUGAAUAAGUGUUCACUUUUCUCCACAACCUUGUCAGCAUCUAUUAUUUUUUGACUUUUUAGUAAUAGCCAUUCUGACUGCUCACAUCUAUUUUGUAAAUAAAGUUUUAUUGAAACAUGGCCUUACCCAUUUGUUUACAUAUAUUCAUGGCUGUUUUUGUGCCACAAUGUCAGAGUUGUCUUAAAGUAGACAGAGACUAUCUGGCUGUAAAGCCUGAGAUAUAUACUAACUGGUUCUUUAUGUAAAAAGUUUGCUGACCACCUACUCUAAACGUUUUGCAGUGAUGGUAGUGUUGGCAAAAAACCAAAUAGCUUACCCUCUUUAAAUUUCCCUUUUACUUCUUACAAACUCCUAACACCAUUUACGACUUUGUCAUCAAUAUGGUCAACUAAGCUUGGUUUGCAUGGCUCUACUUCCUUUCACCUUCCACUUAGGCAGUGUCUCCAAGUCCACUGCAGUUUCUAUUUGUCUCCUGACUGUUACUGUAUCAGUUCUUACCUAAAUAACAUAACAACUGAUCUCCCUACUUUUUGCCUAUGCCCUCAAAUGUGCUCAUUGUUGAUCUAUCUCCCUGUUAGGUGUUCUUUUUCUCCUCUUUAGAAAGCAGCCAAGGAAACCAGGGUUCUCUCAAAGUGGAAAAUACUGGAACUUAUGUACUGUUAUCAUAAUGAUAGUUGGUGUUUUGAAUUAUAAGAAUGAUUCCAGGUGGUUUCUAAAUCAUCCAAUAAAG
rnacentral:lncRNA from 1 species